UGAUAUGCUUUACUGACAGGAAGUUUGAAUAGUGUUUAUUAUUAAUUACAUGAUUUCAAAUUCCAGAAACACAGAGUAUAUAAAUAUAUAAUUAAUUUAUUGAACAAAUAAGUCUGACCACUCAUUUAAAAAAUGAUGCAUGUCACUUUUUUUAAUGUUUCAAAUCACUUUGUUCUCUUUUGUAAGCAAUCUCUUUUACUGCUAAGCAUGUUGCCCAUUGCAAUCACCCACAGAUCUGGUUGUUCUGUAACCCUCAGGAGAGUGCCCAGUUCUCCCAGAAUGAAGCACUGAUUUAUCAGAACUAAUUUUGUCGCAUUUAUUCAAAGAGAACUAAAGCUGUAUUCAAGGCGCACAGUUUUCAUUCUGCUGAUUCAGGUGUUGUGUAUUAAUCUACCUAAUGUUGAUGUCAGGGAGCAUUGUUUUUUACUGCCAAACAGUUCUCAGAGCUGCCAUGCUCAUUUUUGAUGAGGAAGGCAAAGAUGGUUGGGUAGUUUACAACAA
rnacentral:lncRNA from 1 species